rnacentral:tRNA from 1 species
UUCAAAAAAACGGGAGAAGUCCCCGGGAAUCUCUUAAUUCCUUGAUCGCGCUUGCACCGCAAUGCUUGGGGGACUGGUAUGGGGGGUCAAAC